rnacentral:rRNA from 1 species
ACUACGGGUGGCAGCAGUGAGGAAUAUUGGUCAAUGGCCGGAAGGCUGAACCAGCCAUGCCGCGUGAAGGUCAGUGCCCUAUGGGCGUUAAACUUCUUUUGUGCGGGAGCAAUAAUGGUCACGUGUGGCCAGACGAGAGUACCGUACGAAUAAGCAUCGGCUAACUCCGUGCCAGCAGCCGCGGUAAUACGGGGGAUGCAAGCGUUAUCCGGAUUGUUUGGGUUUAAAGGGUGGGUAGGCUGUGAGGUAAGUCAGCGGUGAAAUGCCCCCGCUCAACGGGGUGACGCGCCGUUGAAACUGGCAGGCUGGAAUGCGAAUGCCGUGGGAGGAAUGUGUGGUGUAGCGGUGAAAUGCAUAGAUAUCACACAGAACACCGAUUGCGAAGGCAUCUCACGAAUCCGCGAUUGACGCUGAUGCACGAAAGCGUGGGUAUCGAACAGGAUUAGAUACCCUUGUAGUC